rnacentral:rRNA from 1 species
AUUGAACGCUGGCGGCAGGCCUAACACAUGCAAGUCGAACGAGUGGCGGACGGGUGAGUAAUGUAUGGGAAACUGCCUGAUGGAGGGGGAUAACUACUGGAAACGGUAGCUAAUACCGCAUACCAUCAGAUGAACCCAGAUGGGAUUAGCUAGUUGGUGGGGUAACGGCUCACCAAGGCGACGAACCCUAGCUGGUCUGAGAGGAAGACGGGCCACACUGGAACUGAGACACGGCCCAGACUCCUACGGGAGGCAGAAGUGGGGAAUAUUGCACAUGGGGCGCAAGCCUGAUGCAGCCAUGCCGCGUGUAUGAAGAGGGCCUUCGGGUGGUAAAGUACGUUCAGCGGGGAGGCGUUACCGGCAGAAGAAGCACCGGCUAACUCCGUGCCAGCAGCCGCGGUAAUAC